AUUGAACGCUGGCGGCAUGCUGUACACAUGCAAGUCGAGCGGCAGCGCGGGGGGCAACCCUGGCGGCGAGCGGCGAACGGGUGAGUAAUGCAUCGGAACGUACCCUGGAGUGGGGGAUAACGCCGCGAAAGCGGCGCUAAUACCGCAUAUGCUCUGAGGAGGAAAGUGGGGGGACCGCAAGGCCUCACGCUCUGGGAGCGGCCGAUGUCCGAUUAGCUAGUUGGUGGGGUAAAGGCUUACCAAGGCGACGAUCGGUAGCUGGUCUGAGAGGAUGAUCAGCCACACUGGGACUGAGACACGGCCCAGACUCCUACGGGAGGCAGCAGUGGGGAAUUUUGGACAAUGGGGGCAACCCUGAUCCAGCCAUGCCGCGUGAGUGAAGAAGGCCUUCGGGUUGUAAAGCUCUUUGGUCGGGUAGAAGCGCCUUGCCUAAUACGCGAGGUGGUUGACGGUACCGGCAGAUAAGCACGGCUAACUACGUGCCAGCAGCCGCGGUAAUC
rnacentral:rRNA from 1 species